rnacentral:rRNA from 1 species
GAUGAACGCUGGCGGCGUGCCUAAUACAUGCAAGUCGAGCGAACGGACGAGAAGCUUGCUUUUCUGAUGUUAGCGGCGGACGGGUGAGUAACACGUGGAUAACCUACCUAUAAGACUGGGAUAACUUCGGGAAACCGGAGCUAAUAUCGGAUAAUAUUUUGAACCGCAUGGUUCAAAAGUGAAAGACGGUCUUGCUGUCACUUAUAGAUGGAUCCGCGCUGCAUUAGCUAGUUGGUAAGGUAACGGCUUACCAAGGCAACGAUGCAUAGCCGACCUGAGAGGGUGAUCGGCCACACUGGAACUGAGACACGGUCCAGACUCCUACGGGAGGCAGCAGUAGGGAAUCUUCCGCAAUGGGCGAAAGCCUGACGGAGCAACGCCGCGUGAGUGAUGAAGGUCUUCGGAUCGUAAAACUCUGUUAUUAGGGAAGAACAUAUGUGUAAGUAACUGUGCACAUCUUGACGGUACCUAAUCAGAAAGCCACGGCUAACUACGUG